CGUAUCCGAUUUAGAGCGAUUGCUUAUUGUUCGAUACAGAGUCAACACCUGGUAUAAGUGAUUACUGUGAACUGGUCAGUCACACAGGAUCCUAUGUAUGUCAGCUAGGGCCCCACUGCACGUCGUACCUGGUGGGUUUGCAGAUGUAAUGUUAUGACGGGGAGACCUUUAGUCCACUGAGAUGUGGACAAGGAGAAAGAUUGGGUGACAUAUGACCGUUUUUUCAUUCCUGAAAUGUGUGUAGAAUUUUAAAUUUUUUAUUAAAUAAGGUCUAAUAGAGUAAGGAGAGUUUGAAUGCCGGCUCGCACUCUGUAUUUAAAAUCUUUUUAUUUUAUUUUUAGAAUUUUGUGAUAUUCAGUACUGUUCGUUUUAGGGCACGGACCAACCCAGGCUAUGAUGGGAAUCUGUUUUCCGUGUAUUAUUUGUGAUCUCUGCUUUGGAGUCACUAGAUCCUGUAUGGGUACAAAUUAAGGAGGAAUAUAAGACCAAAUGUAUCGACAUCUUGGAUUUUACCAAAUUGGUUUUUUUUAAGGAGAAUUUUGAUAUUUACAGUUUUUCACACGGUGAGAAGAGUUACAGAUAGAUGUCUUGUUCAUACAAUUUUCCAGUGAAUUAUACAUUGUGUAAUGAAGCCAAACCGAACAUUGAAGAUAAAGCCAAUCUAGCAAAUACAAAAACAAGUUCAAUACCUCCUAAAAAUGCUGUAUGACCGCUUGUUGUGGAUUACAUCUGUGACGAAGUGCCCUUCGCCACUUGGUCCUGGAGAGGCCUACUUGCCAGCCUCCUCCCCUGUGACUAUGACUCUUUCAUGUAUCUGGC